GAUGAACGCUAGCGGCAGGCCUAACACAUGCAAGUCGAGGGAGAAGCCCUUUCGGGGGCCGAAACCGGCGCACGGGUGCGUAACGCGUAUGCAACCUACCUUUCACAGGGGGAUAGCCCGAAGAAAUUUGGAUUAAUACCCCAUAAUAUUAUUGGAUGGCAUCAUUUGAUAAUUAAAACUGCGGUGGGGAAAGAUGGGCAUGCGUCCUAUUAGCUAGUUGGAGUGGUAACGGCACCCCAAGGCUACGAUAGGUAGGGGUCCUGAGAGGGAGAUCCCCCACACUGGGACUGGGACAGGGACCAGACUCCUACGGGAGGCAGCAGUGAGGAAGAUAGGUCAAUGGUCGGAAGACUGAACCAGCCAUGCCGCGUGCAGGAAGAAUGCCUUAUGGGUUGUAAACUGCUUUUAUAUGAGAAGAAUAAGCCGUACGUGUGCGUUGAUGACGGUACCAGAUGAAUAAGCAUCGGCUAACUCCGUG
rnacentral:rRNA from 1 species